UACGUUUGGGGCAAGCGUUGUUCGGAAUUACUGGGCGUAAAGGGCUCGUAGGCGGCCAACUAAGUCAGACGUGAAAUCCCUCGGCUUAACCGGGGAACUGCAUCUGAUACUGGAUGGCUUGAGUUCGGGAGAGGGAUGCGGAAUUCCAGGUGUAGCGGUGAAAUGCGUAGAUAUCAGGAAGAACACCCGUGGCGAAGGCGGCUCUCUGGAACGCAACUGACGCUGAGACGCGAAAGCGUGGGGAGCAAACAGG
rnacentral:rRNA from 1 species